rnacentral:lncRNA from 1 species
UAUUUCCCUUUAUUCAUUUUUAAAAAAUAAACUUAAUUAAAAAUAUAAAAUAACUAAUCUUCGAAUUUAAAAAUCUCAAGUAUCAUUAAAAUUUUAUAUAUAUAUAUAUAUAUAUAGUUGAGCUAAAAUACUAUCAGUAGUAAACGAGCCGUUUUACUACCGAUUUGUUUUCGAUGAUAGAACUUUCAAAUUGACGUUCAGCUCCGUUGAAUAUGAUCUAUAGCACUUGAAGUAUUUAGAAAUCAAAUUUCAAAUCUUUUCGACAUCAUUUGCCUAAUGAUCAAAGAGUUUCAAAAUUUGUAAUUUUAAUG